AUUAUUUUCUUCAUCACUUGACACUUUCCAUAAUGGAGUGGAGAACUUUGGUUAUAAUAUGGAUAUUUAUCUGUAAGUCAUUCAACCUCACAACAAUAAGUAUUUAUUUUUCUGUAUUUAUUAGAAAAAAAAGUCUUUAAAUAGACAAAUAUGAUGUGAGAGAUACUGAGGAUAGAGUAGUGAGUAGAGGAAGAGCUCUGAUGAUAUUCUUAAAUUGUAGCGCCCUCUAUCAUUGGUUUCCUAUAUCCUUUUUGAACUGUGUCCAUGUUAAGUGAGAUUGUAAAUACUAUAUUGCCACCUUGUGGCUGAUUCUCAUCAAAUGAGGUCUACAGCUUGUGCAGGGGCGAAAAAUAUUGACUUUAAUAGAACUGUUAUAUUCAUAGUUAAGACAUAUCUUUUUUGUUUUGUUUUAAUAUUAUUAUUAUUAUUUUUAGAUGGUAAAAAAUUUUAUUGGCAUGAAUUUGCAUAAUGGUUUGACAAAUCAAAAAUGAAAAAUACAUUGGAAUGUUUAGGUAAACGUGCAGCAGAAACAUCUACAACAACAGAGACUUCCACAAUCACAACAACUGCAGCUGAAACAUCGGUAACAACAGAGGCUUUAAAUGAAGUGAAAAUACAGCUGGUGCUCCGCUCUAAAGAUUCAUUUACAGAUGAACUCAAAAAUUCACAAUCUCCUGCUUUCAAAGAAAGGGCCCAACUUGUUCAACAUUCACUUGAAGCCCUUUUCCAGAAGAUUCCUUCCUUCCUAAGAGUCGCUGUGCUAUAUUUCAAGUAAAUACUCUAUUUUUCAGUGCUGAUUAUUUUAAUUAUAGAGUGCCCCUGUUUAUGUUUGAAACUGUGAGCAAUAAAAUAAACAUGUGAUUAAUCCAUUUAUUGGUGAGGUGGGGAUAUGAAGAAAUAAUUGCAAUAUGACAGAAUUUCAAAAAAAACAACAGAGACUUCCACAAUCACAAUGACAGCUCCUGAAAAAUCCACCACUACUGCAGUAGAAACAUCUACAACAACAGAGACUUCCACAAUCACAACAACUGCACCAGAAACAUCCACUACUAGUGCAGCAGCAGUAACAUCUAUAACAACAGAGACCUCCACAAUCACAACGACUGCACUGGAAACAUCUACCACUAAUGCGGCAGAAACAUCUACAACCACUGAGACUUCCACAAUCACAACGACUGACCGAACAUCCACCACCAGUCGACAGCAGAAACUAUACUACUACGACAAGAGACUUUCCACAGUCACAAUGACUGCACCAGAAACAUCUACCACAACAGAGACCUCCACAAUCACAACAACUGCUCCUGAAACAUCUACAACAACAGAGACAUCCACAAUCACAACAACUGCUCCUGAAACAUCUACAACAAG
rnacentral:lncRNA from 1 species